rnacentral:tRNA from 1 species
GCCGAGAUGAUGGAAUUGGUAGACAUAAGGGACUUAAAAUCCCUAGGGUAGAAAUACCCGUGCGGGUUCGAGUCCCGCUCUCGGCA